UGAAUUGCAGAAUCCCGUGAACCAUGGAGUCUUUGAACGCAAGUUGCGCCCGAAGCCGUCAGGCCGAGGGCACGCCUGCCUGGGCGUCACGCGCUGCGUCGUCCCCCCCGCCCCCGCACGCCGCGGGCGCGCGCGGGGGGGAGCGGAAGUUGGCUUCCCGU
rnacentral:rRNA from 1 species